GGGUUGUAGGAAUACAUCGGAAUCUACCUUUUGGUGGGUUAUAACGUAGGGAAACUUACGCUAAUACCGCAUACGCCCUUCGGGGGAAAGCCGGGGACCUUCGGGCCUGGCGCUGAUAGAUGAGCCGAUGUCGGAUUAGCUAGUUGGUGAGGUAAUGGCUCACCAAGGCGACGAUCCGUAGCUGGUCUGAGAGGAUGAUCAGCCACACUGGAACUGAGACACGGUCCAGACUCCUACGGGAGGCAGCAGUGGGGAAUAUUGGACAAUGGGCGCAAGCCUGAUCCAGCCAUACCGCGUGGGUGAAGAAGGCCUUCGGGUUGUAAAGCCCUUUUGUUGGGAAAGAAAAGCGAUCGGUUAAUACCCGGUUGUUCUGACGGUACCCAAAGAAUAAGCACCGGCUAACUUCGUGCCAGCAGCCGCGGUAAUACGAAGGGUGCAAGCGUUACUCGGAAUUACUGGGCGUAAAGCGUGCGUAGGUGGUGGUUUAAGUCCGUUGUGAAAGCCCUGGGCUCAACCUGGGAAUUGCAGUGGAUACUGGGUCACUAGAGUGUGGUAGAGGAUAGUGGAAUUUCCGGUGUAGCAGUGAAAUGCGUAGAGAUCGGAAGGAACAUCUGUGGCGAAGGCGACUAUCUGGGCCAACACUGACACUGAGGCACAAAAGCGUGGGGGAGCCAAACAGGAAUUACAUACCCCUGGUAGUCCACCCCCCCUAAACGAAUGCCAACUGGGAAUGUUUGGG
rnacentral:rRNA from 1 species